rnacentral:lncRNA from 1 species
CUUGCCAUCAACAUUUAACUUAUUAAGAACAGAUUCCAUGCAACUAAAUUUAUUUCAAGAGUGUUUGCUGUUAACUUUUAAUUUUCUGUAAUUAUCCUGCUUUCAGUUAAAUGGAUCUCAAAAUUAGUCUUUUCAAACUAGGUGUACAUUUUUAAAAAAAAUCCUCUUUUUAAUGUAAAAAGCAUGCCUUCUCACAAAAUUAUAUUUUAUAUAAAUUAAAAGGAAAAAAAGACCCAAAAUGGUUAACCAAAGAAAAAUUUAGGUUUAAGGCAAAAUUCCCUAAAUUCUGGCGUUCUGCAGAAUGAAGAGAUACUAAUUAGUUACAAUUGAAAUUGUAAACUAUUAUGAAUUGUAAAAAAUUAUGAAUACUCAGAAACCAAUGCCAAUUCAUAGAGAACUGUGGAGGCCAUGGAAUGUAAUGGUCAUGUUUGCAAUCCAGACUAGGGAGCUUCCCCAUUUUUGACAUCAUUUAAAACCUGACACUUAUUAAUUUUCAAAAUAUGGAAUGAGGGAAACGAUAACAACUUAAGCUGUGUAUGUGAAGAAAACAUAAUUGCCAAUUUGCUUUGAAUCUUUCAUUUUAAAAACACAACAUUUUUUUAAAUCUUUCUCUUUUUUUCUUUUUUAAUUAAUCAUUCCAUUUAUGUCCCAUAAGUUUGGUUAUGUUGUACCUUCAUUUUCAUUAAAUUAUAAAAAGUCUUUAAUUUCUUUCUUUAUGUUUUCCUUGACCAAGUUAUCAUUGAGUAGAGCGUUGUUCAGCAUCCAUGUAUAUGUGAGCUUUCUGGUAUCUUUGUUGCUAUUGAAGACCAGCCUUAAUCUGAUAGGAGGCAUUGGGUCUGAGGAUGUUCAACACCCCAGUGUAGGGGAAUACCAGGGCAGGAGGAUGGGAGUGGGUGGGUGGUUGAGCACUCUCAUAGAGGCAGGCGAAAGGGGAAUGAGAUAGGGGGUUUCCAAAGGGGAGAUCUGGAAAGGGGAAAACAUUUGAAAUGAAAUAAAUAAAAUAUCCAAGAAAAAAAAAAUCAUUCCAUUUGUUUAUAUCUCAAAUUAUAUUCCACUUCCUGGUUACCCCUCCACAAACCCCCAUCUCACAUCUGCCCUCUACUCCCUCCUCUUUGUCUCUAUGAUGGUGUUCCCACCCAUCUUCUUCUGCCCCACUGCUCCAGCAACCCCCUAUACACUCCUAGGUUGAUGACCUAGUCUCUGAGAGCACUGUGUGGUCUGACCAGCCAAUGUUGUUUUUCCUAUGGGGUUGCAAUGCCCCUCCGCUCCUACAGUUCUACCAUCAGGGUCCCUGAGCUCAGUCUGAUGAUUGGCUCAAAGCAUCCACAUCUCAUUCUUUUUUUUUUUUUCUUCUUCUUCAAGAUUUAUUUAUUUUUGUAUAAUGAGCACGCUGUUUCUGACACACCAAGAGAGGGCACUGGAUCCAAUUAUACAUGUUGUGAGCACCAUGUGGAUUCUGGGAAUUGAAUUCACGACCUCUGGAAGAGUAGCCAGUGUUCUGAAUCGCUGAGCCAUCUCUCUACCCCCAAAAUACAACAUUCUAAAAUGUGUUUUUUCCCUGGGACAAAUGAUGAAAAUUUGAAAAUUCAGAUGUUUCAGGAAUGUUCUACCAAAUUAAUGCAUGUAAAGCAUUAGAACCACCAUUGAUAACCAACUGAACAAGUAGGAAAUAGACAAUGUAUAAAGAUGCUAGGAUUGCCUAAUUACUCCCAAUACUGCUUGAAAAACAUGUGUCCUUCCCUGUCC